UACGAAGGGGGCUAGCGUUGCUCGGAAUCACUGGGCGUAAAGCGCACGUAGGCGGAUCGUUAAGUCAGGGGUGAAAUCCUGGAGCUCAACUCCAGAACUGCCUUUGAUACUGGCGAUCUCGAGUCCGGGAGAGGUGAGUGGAACUGCGAGUGUAGAGGUGAAAUUCGUAGAUAUUCGCAAGAACACCAGUGGCGAAGGCGGCUCACUGGCCCGGUACUGACGCUGAGG
rnacentral:rRNA from 1 species